rnacentral:rRNA from 1 species
AUUGAACACUGGCGGCGUGCUUAACACAUGCAAGUCGAUCGGUAACGCGGGGGCAACCCUGGCGACGAGAGGCGGACGGGUGAGGAACGCUUGGGAAUCUGCCUAUCAGCGGGGGACAACACGGGGAAACUCGUGCUAAUACCGCAUACGCUCUACGGAGGAAAGCCGGGGCCCGCAAGGCCUGGCCCUGAGAGAUGAGCCCAAGCCGGAUUAGCUAGUUGGCGGGGUAACGGCCCACCAAGGCGGCGAUCCGUAGGUGGUCGGAGAGGACGAUCAGCCACACUGGGACGGAGACGCGGCCCAGAAUCCUACGGGAGGCAGCAGUGGGGAAUAUUGGACAAUGGGGGAAACCCUGAUCCAGCGACGCCGCGUGGGUGAAGAAGGCCUGCGGGUUGUAAAGCCCUUUCGGUAGGGACGAAAGCUCUCGACCUAACACGUCGGGAGGUUGACUUAACCUACAAAAGAAGCACCGGCUAACUCUGUGCCAGCCGCCGCGGUAACAC